UUUCCCUGUGUAGCGUGUUCUAUGAAAUUUGUGCUUUGGAUAUUGCCAUUUACUUUAUAUUCAAAAUCGAAAAUAUUUUUCAUUUUGGAUAAAAAACCAUCAUAUUAAGGCGGACACAUCUAGUCAACUUACCACCACAGUCCGAUAAUAUCCGCAGGACACAUGAGGUAGAAAUAAAGGAAUGCAUAGAAGGCCUGUAUGUUCAUUGUGACGUCAGCAAAGGCUCUACAAGAUGUCCAUCUGUGACGUCACGGCGUCCACCCACCAUCGUUCUACGUCAUGCCUGCUCCGAUAUCAAGGGAUCAGCGAUAUACGUUGACGAGGCAUAUCGAGACCUGUGUUAUGAGCUGUACUGAACAAAUGAGUGGUCUUCAAGAAAAAAUAUCUGAUAACCAGCGACAGUUACUACAUUAAGAUGUGAGUUUAACAAUUUGGUAUGUAAUAUGUUGAUUUAGGUAAUCCAUCCAUCAUUUAUACAAAAAAAAUCUACUGGUAAAUUUCAAUCUUAAAUUUACAAAAUGUUAAGUUUGAAUGAUUUAAGUUUUCACCGAAAGCUUUUUUUUCAAAAAGAAAUUAUGUUAUUUAAGAAACAAAUUAAUGAAAUUUCUAUGUAAUCUAUAUUUUUAUUUUAUUAUCUCCCUUUAAAAUAUAAUAUCCUUAGAUCAGCGUCAUUUUGGUGUUUUUCAAAAAUGUCAUCGAUGCAAAAAUAAUAUAAUAGUUAAUCAAUAUAAAUGAAACAUAGAAAUAAUCUCCAUGUUAAUAUCCAAAACGCACCAACAUAUCUUUGCAAUCCUAACGAUGGAUGGCUUACCUUAAAUUAUUUUGUGUUAAAUUGAUUUACAUGUAUUAGUUUAUUCUUGGAGAUUAUGCAUGACACAUGAUCGUUAUUAGAGAUAAA